UACUAGAGUAGCACUCGCAUAUCAAUAAGCGGAGGAAAAGAAACUAACAAGGAUUCCCCUAGUAACGGCGAGUGAAGCGGGAAGAGCUCAAAUCUGAAAUCUUAAAGGGUUUCCCUUUACGAAUUGUAGUUUAAAGAAGUGUUUUCUGUUGAGGUUUUGGUAAAAGUUCUUUGGAAUAGGACAUCAUAGAGGGUGAGAAUCCCGUAUUUGACCUUUACUUUCAACUUUGUGAUACACUUUCAGAGAGUCGGAUUGUUUGGGAAUGCAGUCCAAAAUGGGUGGUAAAUUUCAUCUAAAGCUAAAUAUUGGCGAGAGACCGAUAGCGAACAAGUACCGUGAGGGAAAGAUGAAAAGAACUUUGAAAAGAGAGUUAAACAGUACGUGAAAUUGUCAAAAGGGAAGCGUUUGACACCAGUGCUGUUUUUCUGAAAAUCAAUUAAAGAACUGUUUAUGCUAAGCUGUUUAGACUUUAUCAGCUGUCUGCUUAGUUUUGAGCUUUUCUUUAAUGCACUUUUCAGUUAACAAGUCAACAUCAAUUUCUUUUGCUGUAAAAAAGCUUGAGGAAGGUGGCUUGAGAUUCGUCUUAAGUGUUUAUAGCCUCUUGCCUAUGCAGUCGGAGAGAUUGAGGUCUGCAGCGUAGAUCCUUCGGGGCUAAAUGCAUUUGUGCUAAGUUAUAGCAUUUUAUAGACAACUUGUUGACUAUGAUUUGUCUUGUAGCUUACUCGCUUAUGUUAUUUUACCUACGCUUAGGAUGUUGAACUACUGAGACAUAGA
rnacentral:rRNA from 1 species